UCGCUCGCAUUGAUUACGUCCCUGCCCUUUGUACACACCGCCCGUCGCACCUACCGAUUGAAUGAUUCGGUGAAAAUUCUGGACUGUGGCUCGGACGCCUUCGGGCGACCUUGCUGUGGGAAGUUAUUUAAACCUCAUCAUUUAGAGGAAGGUGAAGUCGUAACAAGGUUUCCGUAGGUGAACCUGCGGAAGGAUCAUUACCACACCCUCAAAUA
rnacentral:rRNA from 1 species